UAGAGUUUGAUCCUGGCUCAGAGCGAUUUCUGGCGGCAGGCUUAACACAUGCAAGUCGAGCGGGCGUAGCAAUACGUCAGCGGCAGACGGGUGAGUAACGCGUGGGAACGUACCUUUUGGUUCGGAACAACACAGGGAAACUUGUGCUAAUACCGGAUAAGCCCUUACGGGGAAAGAUUUAUCGCCGAAAGAUCGGCCCGCGUCUGAUUAGCUAGUUGGUGAGGUAACGGCUCACCAAGGCGACGAUCAGUAGCUGGUCUGAGAGGAUGAUCAGCCACAUUGGGACUGAGACACGGCCCAAACUCCUACGGGAGGCAGCAGUGGGGAAUAUUGGACAAUGGGGGCAACCCUGAUCCAGCCAUGCCGCGUGAGUGAUGAAGGCCCUAGGGUUGUAAAGCUCUUUUGUGCGGGAAGAUAAUGACGGUACCGCAAGAAUAAGCCCGGGCUAACUUCGUGCCAGCAGCCGCGGUAAUACGAAGGGGGCUAGCGUUGCUCGGAAUCACUGGGCGUAAAGGGUGCGUAGGCGGAUCUUUAAGUCAGAGGUGAAAGCCUGGAGCUCAACUCCAGAACUGCCUUUGAUACUGGGGAUCUUGAGUUCGGGAGAGGUGAGUGGAACUGCGAGUGUAGAGGUGAAAUUCGUAGAUAUUCGCAAGAACACCAGUGGCGAAGGCGGCUCACUGGCCCGAUACUGACGCUGAGGCACGAAAGCGUGGGGAGCAAACAGGAUUAGAUACCCUGGUAGUCCACGCCGUAAACGA
rnacentral:rRNA from 1 species